rnacentral:rRNA from 1 species
GACGAACGCUGGCGGCGUGCCUAAUACAUACCAUUCGAACGCAGUGGGGACGGGUGCGUAACACGUGGGUAACCUCCCAUCAGAGGGGAUAACACUUGGAUACAGGUGCUAAACCGAUACUGAUGGAUGCACCCGCGGUGCAUUAGCUUGGUGGUGAGGUAACGGCUCACCAAGGCCACGAUGCAUAGCCGACCUGAGCGGGUGAGCGGCCACACUGAGACGGAGACACGGCCCAGACUCAUACGGGAGGCAGCAGUAGGGAAUCUUCGGCAAUGGACGAAAGUCUGACCGAGCAACGCCGCGUGAGUGAAGAAGGUUUUCGGAUCGUAAAACUCUGUUGUUAGAGAAGCGGUAUCUAACCAGAAAGCCACGGCUAACUACGUGCCAGCAGCCGCGGUAAUAC